AGUGGCAGACGGGUGAGUAACACGUGGGUGACCUACCUUUUCGUUGGGGAUAACAGUUGGAAACGAUUGCUAAUACCGAAUAAAAUGUAAGAGUCAAUUUUACAUUGAAAGGAGCCUUUAAAGCUUCGCGAUUAGAUGGGCCUGCGGCGUAUUAACUAGUUGGUGAGGUAAUGGCUUACCAAGGUGACGAUGCGUAGCCGAACUGAGAGGUUGAUCGGCCACAUUGGGACUGAGACACGGCCCAAACUCC
rnacentral:rRNA from 1 species